rnacentral:rRNA from 1 species
CCUCUGGGUCCACCUCCCACCCGUGUCUAUCGUACCUUGUUGCUUCGGCGGGCCCGCCGUUUCGACGGCCGCCGGGGAGGCCUUGCGCCCCCGGGCCCGCGCCCGCCGAAGACCCCAACAUGAACGCUGUUCUGAAAGUAUGCAGUCUGAGUUGAUUAUCGUAAUCAGUUAAAACUUUCAACAACGGAUCUCUUGGUUCCGGCAUCGAUGAAGAACGCAGCGAAAUGCGAUAAGUAAUGUGAAUUGCAGAAUUCAGUGAAUCAUCGAGUCUUUGAACGCACAUUGCGCCCCCUGGUAUUCCGGGGGGCAUGCCUGUCCGAGCGUCAUUGCUGCCCUCAAGCACGGCUUGUGUGUUGGGCCCCCGUCCCCCUCUCCCGGGGGACGGGCCCGAAAGGCAGCGGCGGCACCGCGUCCGGUCCUCGAGCGUAUGGGGCUUUGUCACCUGCUCUGUAGGCCCGGCCGGCGCCAGCCGACACCCAACUUUAUUUUUCUAAGGUUGACCUCGGAUCAGGUAGGGAUACCCGCUGAACUUAAGCAUAUCA